rnacentral:lncRNA from 1 species
AGGAGAGGGCGUCUGUUCCACAAAGGUUUGCAAAAUAAAAUUAAGAAGAAGAAGAAGAAGAAGAGGAAUGUAAUAACCGAGCGGUGGCGGAGAGGGGAAUCUGCAAUAACGUUGCAAAGCAUUGCACGCGCUGCGGGCCGCGCUGGGAGCGGCGGUUGCGCUCCGUCAUCGCCGGGGCUGCAGGGCGGGCACGCGCCGCUCCCCUCGCGCUCAGCCCCGCGCCGUAGCAAAGUCGCGGCGGAACGGCGUGCGCUGCUCCCUUCGGACGAGCAGUCUUUAUUUUGUAAUCCCACAUCCCGUGGGUUGUGAUAAUCCGAGAGCCCAAUCUCCUCCUCCUGUUUUGCACUUGGAGCGAUGUGCCCUGGGACACAUGGAACGAUGUGCAAAUCGCUCAUGGAAAAAGAGGGGAUGGAUGAAGUCAGGCUGUGAAGGACCGCAUCCAGCAGCAGACCUCCCCUGGCAGAGGCUCUCUUGCUCCCUUGGCUGGGACGAAGUGCUGUGGCCACAGGCAUAUGGGGCACACUGAGACAAACCGAGCAGCUUUUUGAGAAUGUCCUGAGACCCUUGGCAAUGGAGAGAGAUUGCAGUGCAAGCACUUUUCUGGAUUACUCUGUCACUGAUGUCAAAUCAAAGCAUCAAGGAUAUAAAUCUUCAGUAAACAUCUGGCCUCACUUCAGCCAGGUUAUGCAAUGCCUCAAGUACAUUCAGCAGCAGAUUAUGCUGCGUUCUCCUUUUGUGCAAUGCAAGCUAAUGUGAAUAUCAAGUCACAUCAGUGGUCUAGACAAGUAGUUGGGAGAUAAAGACAGCAACUCAAACCGGGAAGUUUGGCCUCUCAGGUAAGAUUACACUUUAAGUUCAAGGCUGCCAGCUGUCCUACAUUCAGAGGGUUAGGGGAACUACUCACAUUUUGGGGCUGAAAACUUCAAAUCUCCUUCUACCAGGAAAACAUUGCCCCUGUGGGUGUUUAUAUGGAACUGCAGCACAGUAACACAGCAGUGCUCUGGCUGUGCUGGGAUGCAGAAAUUUGGAUUCCUCUAUCCUUUUCUUAGAUAUUUUUCAGAUAAACAACAUCUCUUUCUCCCACUUGUAAUCACAUUGAUGAGCUUCACUUGUCAAAGCUGGAGCUCAAGGUGUGCCAUGGGGCUCAGAAGGAGGAAAAAUGGAAGAAAAACCUUCAGGGAAAAAAAAGGAAAGAGAUAAGCAAUAGGAUUUCAGUCAAGAACUGAGGCCGAUUUUGGUUUUCCUGGUAAUGGAUUUGUUUGAAGAGAAUAUAUUUAAUCUAUAGAUCCAACCUGGGAUUACAUGGAAAGGUCACUCAACUCCGCUCGUCCUCCCGGUCUCUCAUUUGUGUUUGACAUCAGCAAAGCCGGAAUUUAAAUAUUUGUUAUAUUUGGGGCAGAUGAUCCACCCAGACAGAAUCGAGGAUUAGGAAUUCAUUUUGUAAAGCAUUAUAUAAAAACACAACAAAAUUUGACCCCGGCUCCAACUCUCUCAGUCCACUUGAGUCUAAUUGUAAAAGCAGGAUCAAAAUGUAAAGAGAAGCAAAUGUGAUUGGUGCUAGUAGAUGUUUUUGCUUUUGCCUCUUCCCUUGUCCAAGAGCUUCUGUACACAGAGGUACACAGAAGCACUGAGGUAGCAGAGGGCUGCUCUCUGAUAGUUUGUACCAAACUCUCUCAUUCUGAUAGUUUGUACCAAACAAGAUUAUCAGGAGCAAUAAGAACGACCCCAGCUGUUGUCUGCUGGUAGAAACCUUUUAAACAGAACAAGGACAGAAAGUUAUUCAAUAAUUACAAGGAAGGAAGAGCACAUGGCUUGAAGUGACUGGCUGGUAAUCAAUUCCUGCUGUGAGCAGUUUUGUCCUGACCAUACGACACGUGAAGAAAAAUAAGAAGCAUGCAUAAAGAAAUCCGCGUAGUUUCAUAAAUGGAAAAGCAGAAAGUUCAUUCAAAGAUAAAUAACACAGCCAGCAUGACGUGAAAUCCCAUUGUUUUAAUACAAUAUCUACUUUAAUUGUAUCGGCUGUUUAAAACAAUGAAGAAUGUGCAAAUAAUCAUUUUUCCUAUCACUGCAGUGCUUCUCGUGUGUAUUUUGAAAACAUUUCUUAUCUGGUUUGCUUGUACAGCUCCAACUUAAAGGUCCCCAUGUUCCAUCAAGGUAUUGUCUCGUGACAGCUUUGUUGGUAUUCUCAGCACUGCUUGGGCACAGUGGCUGAUCUUUCAUCAGAAACUGUAAAGGAAGGAAGUGGUGCGUAUACAUAAUCCAGGAAUAAUGGGCAUUCCUUUUGAGUUUUAAUAAAGAAGUAAUUAGCUGUAAUUAGUAAUUUUCACGUAUGUAUUUAGAACGCAAGGAAUGGCAUUGGCCUUUGGAAUAGAUUUUGUCACUGAGUUUCAGGAAGUGAAAGAACUCUCAAAACCUCAGAAAAAGAGGGUGCAUGAGCACAACCACUGCAACACAUGGAGUUGUGAUUGUAAAAUUCAGUGACGUGGAGAAUGACAAGAGGAUGGAGCAUCUCCGAAAUGCUGAAGAGCCCAAAUUGCCCACUGAUAGUAGCAUACAUGAGAUUCAUCCCACAGAAAUCAAAUAUAAGGAUACUGAAACGUUUGGGAUGUGGAAACAAAUCACCCUGAGAGGGGAGGAAGGCAGCCCUUGUUGUUCUGGGUGGCAGUUCCACCGGCUGACCCCUGGAACGCACUUUGCAGUACUCCAGAAGAGCACUGGCAUGGGGUCAUCUGUUGAAAUAUUAACAGAAUCUGUCGGCAGUGUUUCCAGUUGUGAAACUUGGGUUUUUUUCCUUCCUUUCAUUCACUUGCAGCAGCAUUAUCUCUGCUUAUAGCCAGUUCUUUCCUUCCGAUAUCAACAGUGCUGUCUGCAGGAAGGAGCGGGGCUGGGAAGGUGGAGAUGACAGCAUCCGUGGGCAUACUGCAUUUCUCUUAGCUUCAAAGGGGCAAAGUGGGGAGUAAAUCCUUCACAGCACUGAAACAGUUACCAAAGUAAUCCUAUGGAGACUCUGCCAUCAUUACAGAUCCCCUUUGCUCCUAACCUUUGAAGAAUAGAUGGAGGUGCUGAGCAGAGACUCUGGAAAUCUUGAUUCAGUUCCCAGUGCCACCAAAGGCUCUGUGAUUUAUGGGGCAAAAAAUCUCAGCCUCUCUCAGUUCAGUUCCCCAUGCACAACCACGCCGAACGCUUUGGUGUAGCAGUGACCUCCUGUGAUGCUGUUUAUCUUAAGGGAGACUGCCCCUUGACUGAGCCCCCAGAUGACAGCAGUGUGAAAUGAGCUGAGCAGCGCCAUUCUCAGGCAGCUUGCUCCAAAAUAGCCCACACGCUGUGGUGGGUGUCCUUGCUCUUAAGUCCUUCUGAACGUAUUACUUCUUAUCAAAGGAUGUUUUUUCUUUGAGAUGAAGCCAUCUGCUCAAUAUUUAAUAGUAUUUUAUAAUCCCCUGCUUUCUCCCUAGAAAAGCCCUUAAUAUGAGUCAUAAUAUAAGCAUAAUUUGUAAAUGAAAUGUAGGCCUGGAUCAAUACCCUUCUCCUUGCUGCAGGGUAGCAUAAGCACUGAAAGAUGUUCUCCUAAUUGUUAUGAGGACAGGGAAUUGUUUCAUUUAUGUAAGUGAAAUGUGUUAUUAAGUUGUAUGAUGAUGCGAGUUGACUCUGAGGUUUCUGUACUUGUGGCAAAAUGUCAAUAUUCCUAAAGCAUCUUGCAGUCAGCAGUUUCAGAGGACAGGUUAUUUGCAAAAUAGCCUCCCCAUUAUAAUCCAGUGACACACAAAUCUGCUCCCCAGGUUCCAGCACUGGCCUUUCCAAAUCCAAAGUUAAAUGGAUUCUGCUCCGAGAGCUGAAUCGUCACUGAAACUGCUGUGCUUCAGACAGAUUUGCUGUUGCUGAGAAAAUAGGGCUCCUACCUCUUUCUACUGAAUGAUUUCCCAGGGCCCUAUCUUCAGUGCAUGGUAAUAUUGCAGUGUUGUAACUUCUGGAUAGCCUAAUAGACGAGUAAUCUUAGUUAGUGGAAACCCAGAUGCUCCCAGACUUACUUGGGCAGAACAGUAAUUUGCUGUAAAAACAGCCCCAUAAAUUCAAUAGGAGAGUGUAUGCAGGUACUGUUUAGUAUGUGUAAAUGUAUGCAAACGUCAUUAGCUAAUACCAAUGCCUUCAGCAAAGAUACUUCUUGAUUUCUACUACAGGAGAACUUAGGCUCUUUUCUGGUGGGCAGUAUGAUUUUUCUUUGUGUAAUUGUCAGACAUGAAAAUUACAUCUAAGCAUACACUUCAGGUCUUAUCCCAUCGUCAUGAAGUCCUGCAUGUUCAAGGGAUGCUGUUCACAAUCACUGAACUCUCCAAGUACUCAUACUUGCAGUGAGCCCCUCAGUAUGUACAGACACCCACUUGUCCUCUUUGUGAACUGUUGGUCAAUUUUUGCCUUGGAUCAUUUCUGAUAGGCAAGAAAACCAAGUAGGUACGUUCCUUAGGAAAACCACCUUUGCUUAGACUAUGCUGACCAGUUCCCAUUUCCCCCAGCACAGUGGAAAUCGUUUCUCCUGCUCAUGCCCUCACCAGCUUACUUUCGAUCUUCCAUAAUUGCUUUUUCAGGGGCAGUGACAAGCAUUUACCUCAGCAGGUGAAGAUUACCCUUCCCUCUGUUGUUUCCCUUACACUCAACACAGGAGCUGCUAACCUGAGUUACUUUCCUCUAGCAUCACUAUUAUACUGCACAACAAAGAUGUCAUGUUAAAACAUUAUCGCAAGAACCAUCCUUGCCAUACUUGGCCUAGUCUCUCAUAGCAAAGAGGCUUUUCAACACGUCUGCAAACCAUCUCCAGCAGGACCUUUCCCUGACCUGUGACAAGCAGGUGUGCAUCUUGUCUGUCGCAUACUGAGACUUGCAGUUGCCCGGGGUGCGGUGCUUCGGGGUCACCUUGGCUGAUCGAGGUCACUCCCCAGGCAUUUUGCUUUUUUGAUAAGCAAGGCCACAGCCUUGGACAGCAGCCCUGCAAUUUGUACUUGUGCUGCGUGGACUCAGACCUGUGUGCGUGCUCAGCUCGCACCCAGAUAAAAUAGCCUGUGAUGAAUUCCACUGUAAGAGCACUAAAGAGAAAGCUGUGUGAAUAGGGUUUGGAGGAGCAGAGGAAGUAAAUCUAGAGAGUGCUCGAAACAGCCUGUUAAGAAAAUACAGCAUAAUGCACAGCUCCUUGUCCUCAUCCACAAAGAGCACUCUGCAGGCAAAAGACACCAAAGCAGGUCAGGUGCCAAAGGCUGCUCUGCUCUCUGUAUUCAAUUAGCCAGAUGCAGCAAAAUAAUGAACUCUUCAUCGAGUGCAAGUCUCUCUUAUCACUUGUUUGACUUGAUGUCAUAGAAUCACCAUAGAUAAAGAAGGUGCAAAUGGUACCUCAUUGUACCAAAACCUCAAAAUAAUAUGCUGCUAAUGAAGGCAACGUUAUUCAUGUAAACAUUCAAACCCAUUGAAGGAAGCUAGAUGAUAGAAAUCUUCUUCCACUUGAAUUUGCAUGCAGAUGUAGUGAGUCAUGGCCUGAAGCAGUGAUGGAGCAGGGCCAGCCCAGGGGGCUCAGGUGCAUACAAUGCAAUCACUGAGUGACUGGAAGGGUGGAGCCAGGAUCCCCCCCUUCCCAGCCCUCAUUUAAGGGCUGGCAGUGGAGGUGAGGGUAUCUCACUGGAGAUCCCUGCCUAUCUGAGGCCUUCUGAAGGUAAGCAGCUUCUUUCCUUUAUUUCUGUGCCCACAGCUGUUGCAUUUGGGCAAAUCUUCACUUGCUGCAGCCUGGGACCUUGCUGCUCUGCUGUCAUUGCUGUGCUUCCCAUCGUGUUACAGUAGAUUUUACCCUUACUCACUAGAUCAGACUCACACCUGUUUGAUCUCUUACUUGGAACUAGAUGAUCUUUAAGGUCCCUUCCAACUGAAGCUGUCCUGGGGUGUAGUUCCUCUGCUGGAGCCUCAGAGUCAAGCUGUUUGGGUACAGUCCUGCACUAGUUUUCAUUCAGGAAAAAGCAGGAGAACUCAGGACUUUUGCAGCCCAGUAAGUUGAAGCAGUGGUAGUUUUCACCACCCAGCACUUGCCUGACUUUCAUAAAUGUCAAUGGAGGAAUUUCACUAACUACAAUAUAGCAAAUAUUACUGUGAUUUUUUUUUAAUUAUUUUUUUUCUGCCAAAAUAUUUGUAAGAGAGAAUCAGAGAUGUUUUUGAGGAAGGUGCAAAACAAGUAGGGAAGCUUAGGAUGCAGUCUGAACAAGAAGGUGGCACCGUGCUCUGUCUGAGCCCUGACCCAGGGAAGCUGUUGCAUGUAAAGGUGCUUUAUCACAUUACUCAAUAUUUUUGUUAGGAAUGAGGAUUUUUAUGUUACUUUCAGAUAGAGAACGACAUCAACCAUGUCUGACUGCCAUCGUUUUUGCCUGCUUAGGGAAACGAUCAAGUUUUGUCUAACCUGUAGGGGUGGAAAGAAAUAACAUUAUUUAACACCUCAACACAUCAAUUUCCUGUUUAGUUUGAUGGGCUGACUAUGAUUUACAGGGUUUCAUUAUGAGACUCAAUUAAAUAUAGAAUUUGUAAUAUUCAUGCAGUUUCUAUGCCAAAUAUACACAGUGCUGAUACAGCAGGGAUCUCAAAAUAUCAACCACCUGCUUGGGAGGAACAGAAUUAUGAAUGCAUCUCCUUAAACAAUAAUUCAUCAUACUCAGAAGUCUAAAGUUAAGCUACUCCAGAGCCAACACAGCUGCUUUAUCUUAUUGAAGGGGGUACUGCUGACUUACAGUGCUGGUUAUCGUUCUUGUAACUCCUGACUAAGAAUGCAGUCAAGGAUUUGGAGGCCUGGGAAGCAGCGCUGAGUGUGGCAUGAAGAAUCCUGGCUUUUGGAUGGGAACCCAGAACUGUGAACUGCACGUCCACAUUGCUCAUGCAGCGCACCAGGAAACCACUCCCAAGGUACCUCCGUACAUCACUGAGAGCUGCAGGGCAAUAACCCCUCCCUCUCCUCAAGGAUCUUCAUCCUCAAACCCCUCUGAAAUAUGAGGAUUAUAGGAGAGAGACUUCCCUGAGUGAGCUCAGAUGCAGUACCAGCUCACAAGUCAGAACGCACCUUUUUCCCUAGGGAAGGAUGCUCUACUCAGAAGAAUGAAGCUAACUUUUAAUCCUCGUUCCUUGGUUAUAAGAAGACUUGGAUCUGACAAGAUGUAGAUGUAUGAUUAUUAUUUUUCCAGACAGGCUACUGCUAUCCAAGCAAGACAGGCUGGAAGCAGCUGAGCUUGGGGGACCUGCUUACAGUGUGGGGAUAUAUGUUCAUAGCAAAAAUGAGACUUUGGAAUGUGAGUGGGGCCUGGGGGGAUAAGCAAUAGUGCAGCAGUAUGACAGUGGCUUCAAGUCCAUUUUCGCUGCAAGGAGGCAGAAUCCUGCUGUGCUCCUUUCAGACAGGUGUUAGUCUAAUUGGUCCUUUAGAACUUAUAUUUUACAGCUUCCUUAGCAGCCAGGUUCUCUGAUUAAGUAUCCUUCAUUAGGAAGCUUUUCCAGUCUCUAAUUUAAACCUUUGCUUCAUGUGGACCCAGGCACUUUCCUUCCCCCUUUGGUGACCGGGACAGUAUUUCAGAAGUACCUCUGCAAGCUUUUUGCGUGUUCAGACAACAAGGACCACCUCACUUUGAAGCUCUCCACAUUCACCUUGUUAUCUACUUAUUCCUUAUCAAAAUGAAAAAUGUUUUCCUUAUUUCUAAUGCCUGCUGCCCUCCCGGAAUUAGGGAUGCCUCAACCCUUCCUGUCCUUUUCUCACUGACUCGACACGUUUCGGGAUGGCUGCUCUGUCAGGUGGCCGUUGGAAGCUCUCAGUCAGCACUGGGGCUGUCGUAGUGUUAAUGAAUCUUGCUAAACUAUUUAGACAUCCUGCGAUAAAAACCACCAGAGGAAUUUCAAGCAGUCAGAGUACAAGCAAUUCUAACUCUGCAGCUACAAGCUGUUGAGAAAUAUCAAUAUUAUCGGUAGUAUCCUUGCUUUAAGACAGCUGCUUAUAGACAAAUCAGCUAUUUAUCUCUGGCAGGUUUGCCUUAUUGCUCUUUCCAAGGCUGUCUGCUGGGAGCACAUUCCUGACCCAGCACUCUUCCAGCCAUGGGAUGGAUGUGUUGGUGCAGCUCAGAAGGAUGUGGGCACCUCUGGGCGGCCGACUGCCAGCUCACAUCUAAACACCACGUUGGGCCAAAUAGCUCAGGAGUGUUUGUGUUACAGAAAAUGUGCGCUUUUGAGAAGGCUGGGAUUGCUUUCUCAUCAUCAGGAAAUAAACCUUAAGGCUUUAACAAAUCAGAGCAAGGAAGAGUGUUUUCAUCUGAACUAAUGUUGCCUGAAGCAUAAAAAUAGACCAAGGGCUGUUUUCAGACAUAACAACAGGCUCAGGGUAGUGUGAAAACACAGCAAGAAAACUUGAGAAUUUGAGAUUACAAGGCAGUUUGCUUAUCUCAUCCAAAAACAUCUUACAAUCAGCAUUUUCAUCUCAUUGACCAUCUCUUCUUACCUUUUGUUCCCAAGCAGUGCUGCAGGCUUGGUUCUGGGAUGGCUCCUCAGCAUCAGCAACGUCUGCCUCCCCCAUUUGACAGAAGCUCCAUUUCAGUGAUGCAGAAAAUUAAUCGGGGCAUUAUAUUUCCU